AAAUUGAAGAGUUUGAUCAUGGCUCAGAUUGAACGCUGGCGGCAGGCCUAACACAUGCAAGUCGAGCGGUAGCACAGAAGAGCUUGCUCUUUGGGUGACGAGCGGCGGACGGGUGAGUAAUGUCUGGGAAACUGCCUGAUGGAGGGGGAUAACUACUGGAAACGGUAGCUAAUACCGCAUAAUCUCGCAAGAGCAAAGAGGGGGACCUUCGGGCCUCUCGCCAUCAGAUGUGCCCAGAUGGGAUUAGCUAGUAGGUGAGGUAAUGGCUCACCUAGGCGACGAUCCCUAGCUGGUCUGAGAGGAUGACCAGCCACACUGGAACUGAGACACGGUCCAGACUCCUACGGGAGGCAGCAGUGGGGAAUAUUGCACAAUGGGCGCAAGCCUGAUGCAGCCAUGCCGCGUGUGUGAAGAAGGCCUUCGGGUUGUAAAGCACUUUCAGCGGGGAGGAAGGCGGUAAGGUUAAUAACCUUAUCGAUUGACGUUACCCGCAGAAGAAGCACCGGCUAACUCCGUGCCAGCAGCCGCGGUAAUACGGAGGGUGCAAGCGUUAAUCGGAAUGACUGGGCGUAAAGCGCACGCAGGCGGUCUGUUAAGUUGGAUGUGAAAUCCCCGGGCUUAACCUGGGAACUGCAUUCAAAACUGACAGGCUAGAGUCUUGUAGAGGGGGGUAGAAUUCCAGGUGUAGCGGUGAAAUGCGUAGAGAUCUGGAGGAAUACCGGUGGCGAAGGCGGCCCCCUGGACAAAGACUGACGCUCAGGUGCGAAAGCGUGGGGAGCAAACAGGAUUAGAUACCCUGGUAGUCCACGCUGUAAACGAUGUCGAUUUGGAGGUUGUGCCCUUGAGGCGUGGCUUCCGGAGCUAACGCGUUAAAUCGACCGCCUGGGGAGUACGGCCGCAAGGUUAAAACUCAAAUGAAUUGACGGGGGCCCGCACAAGCGGUGGAGCAUGUGGUUUAAUUCGAUGCAACGCGAAGAACCUUACCUACUCUUGACAUCCAGAGAACUUAGCAGAGAUGCUUUGGUGCCUUCGGGAACUCUGAGACAGGUGCUGCAUGGCUGUCGUCAGCUCGUGUUGUGAAAUGUUGGGUUAAGUCCCGCAACGAGCGCAACCCUUAUCCUUUGUUGCCAGCGAUUCGGUCGGGAACUCAAAGGAGACUGCCGGUGAUAAACCGGAGGAAGGUGGGGAUGACGUCAAGUCAUCAUGGCCCUUACGAGUAGGGCUACACACGUGCUACAAUGGCGUAUACAAAGAGAAGCGACCUCGCGAGAGCAAGCGGACCUCAUAAAGUACGUCGUAGUCCGGAUUGGAGUCUGCAACUCGACUCCAUGAAGUCGGAAUCGCUAGUAAUCGUAGAUCAGAAUGCUACGGUGAAUACGUUCCCGGGCCUUGUACACACCGCCCGUCACACCAUGGGAGUGGGUUGCAAAAGAAGUAGGUAGCUUAACCUUCGGGAGGGCGCUUACCACUUUGUGAUUCAUGACUGGGGUGAAGUCGUAACAAGGUAACCGUAGGGGAACCUGCGGUUGGAUCACCUCCUUACCAAGAAG
rnacentral:rRNA from 1 species